rnacentral:rRNA from 1 species
GUGGGGAAUAUUGGACAAUGGGCGGAAGCCUGAUCCAGCAACGCCGCGUGAGGGAUGACGGCCUUCGGGUUGUAAACCUCUUUCAGUACCGACGAAGCGCAAGUGACGGUAGGUACAGAAGAAGCACCGGCCAACUACGUGCCAGCAGCCGCGGUAAUACGUAGGGUGCGAGCGUUGUCCGGAAUUAUUGGGCGUAAAGGGCUCGUAGGCGGUUUGUCGCGUCGGGAGUGAAAACGCCGUGCUUAACACGGCGCUUGCUUUCGAUACGGGCAGACUGGAGGUAUGCAGGGGAGAACGGAAUUCCUGGUGUAGCGGUGAAAUGCGCAGAUAUCAGGAGGAACACCGGUGGCGAAGGCGGUUCUCUGGGCAUUACCUGACGCUGAGGAGCGAAAGUGUGGGGAGCGA